rnacentral:tRNA from 1 species
AAGGCUUUAGCUUAAUUAAAGUAUCUGGGUUGCAUUCAGAUGAUGUUAGAUAGAGUCUUGCAGGUCUUA